GGCUGAGGAAGUACUGGAGAAGAUACAAGAAUUUCUGGGUUUUUUUUUUUGCCACCAGCAAAUAAGUGUCUUAACUAGAACAUAUGUUCAUCAUCAAUUCUCAUGCAUAAGCAUGCUGCUUGUGGCAACCCUGUGAAGAUUUAAUUAAGUGGAAGCAGGAUCAGCCCCUAGCUGAGUAAACUGAACUCAAGCACUGAUGAAUGUGUAACCUAUGUAGCAGGAAGAGCACAGCUAAGAGCUAGGAGAGGGAAAGAAUCAACAAAGGACUGGUGGAGACUUGUCUUGUUGGUAUACGUGGAUGCCAAUGAAGACUUCCAGGAUAAAACAGUAAUGGACUAAUUUACAGCUCUUAAAUUGGACUUGUAGAUAAAGAUCAAUGAAAGGAGGUCAAUAAAUGCUAAAAGGCUAUGACAUUGGCCACAGAACUUAGUUUCUUAACAGCUUCUAGCAGGUCACCAGAAGAGAAACAGCUGCUAGUGAGGAAAUGGAAGCU